rnacentral:rRNA from 1 species
GGGCCCUCAAUAGCGGGCGAGUGAACGGCAAAAGCUCAAAUUUGAAAUCUGGCGUCUUUGGCGUCCGCCGUUGUAAUUUGAAGAAGGUAUCUUUGGGCCCGGCUCUUGUCUAUGUUCCUUGGAACAGGACGUCACAGAGGGUGAGAAUCCCGUGCGAUGAGAUGACCCGGGUCUGUGUAAAGUUCCUUCGACGAGUCGAGUUGUUUGGGAAUGCAGCUCUAAGUGGGUGGUAAAUUCCAUCUAAAGCUAAAUAUUGGCGAGAGACCGAUAGCGAACAAGUACAGUGAUGGAAAGAUGAAAAGAACUUUGAAAAGAGAGUGAAAAAGUACGUGAAAUUGUUGAAAGGGAAGGGCUUGAGAUCAGACUUGGUAUUUUGCAUGCUGCUCUCUCGGGGGCGGCCGCUGCGGUUUACCGGGCCAGCAUCGGUUUGGAGCGGCAGGAUAAUGGCGGAGGAAUGUGGCACGGCUUCUGCUGUGUGUUAUAGCCUCUGACGAUGCUGCCAGCCUAGAC